AUGGGGACGACGCCGUCUCAUGGCUGCACCAUAGACUGGGAUUCCAUCCACCUGUCGUUUCUGCAUGCGGCCGGCCUCGACAACCCGUUCACCGAGGAGGAGGUCUGGGUGGCGAUCUGCAAAUCUCUGCAGGAGAAAUCUCCAGGACCAGACGGCUUCAAUGACACCUUGUUCCGUUUGUGCUGUCCCAUCAUCAAAGAGGACGUCAUGGAGGCUUUUCACCAGUUCUAACACCUUACGGGAGGCGACAUGUCGGUGAUCAACAACACAGCGAUCAUCCUACUGCCAAAAAAAGUACAGGGUGAUAGAGGUCACAGAUUACAAGACCAUCAGCUUAAUCCACUCGAUCGCAAAACUCAUCUCCAAGGUCCUAUCCAUGAGACUAGCGUCCAUCAUCAGCUCCAUCAUUUCACCAGCGCAAACGGCAUUUUUGAAGACAAAAUGCAUCCACGACAGUUUCCUCUUCAUGCAGAACUCCGUCCGUGCCCUUCAUCACCGUAA
rnacentral:rRNA from 1 species